UACGGAGGGGGCAAGCGUUAAUCGGAAUUACUGGGCGUAAAGCGUGCGCAGGCGGUUUGUUAAGUCUGUUGUGAAAUCCCCGAGCUCAACUUGGGAAUUGCAAUGGAUACUGGCAGGCUGGAGUAUGGUAGAGGAAGGUGGAAUUCCCGGUGUAGCAGUGAAAUGCGUAGAGAUCGGGAGGAACACCAGUGGCGAAGGCGGCCUUCUGGACCAAUACUGACGCUCAUGCACGAAAGCGUGGGGAGCAAACAGG
rnacentral:rRNA from 1 species